GGAAAAAUUAAUGCACCAAUUAUAUACUCAGCAAAACAGACAAAGGACACUUAGAUAUUUGGUUACCAUUUAUUCAAUACUCAAAGUACAUUCUCCUGCAAAAUACCAGUGCACCUGUCCAAUUUUUUUGAAUAUUACUAUUUGAUAGACAGGCCUGGCUUGUUCAAUAUGUGCAAUCAGAGAUUUCACUGUCUGUGAUAAAAUCAUAGAACCCGCGUUUUGUGGGUAUUGGAAAGAGACUUGCUCUGUCAGUGGUAGCACCCUGUGAAAUGGAGAGAGCUGAUUUAUUGUAUGACUAGGUUGUUCUAAAGAAGAGCUCACUGUUGUAAUGACUGUUUUGUCUCCAACGUUUACAUGGCAGAGAUUUGUAAACCUGUUAAACCUUCCUAAAUAAAUAGUUAGAGAAGAUUGUGAGUGGCCGAGGAGGGAACAUCUGUCCCUACAGUGGCGCUGCUAUCAAAGGGCCUGGGAGAAGCUCUGUUCAGCACCUUGGAGUCUACAGGCAGAAGGAGACUCACAGCACUUGGAGCCCUGUCCCUGGAAGCACAGCACUGUUCCUCGCAUGCA